CAGUCGCCGCGGUAAAACGGAGGGAGCUAGCGUUGUUCGGAAUUACUGGGCGUAAAGCGCACGUAGGCGGCUUUGCAAGUUAGAGGUGAAAGCCUGGAGCUCAACUCCAGAAUUGCCUUUAAGACUGCAUCGCUUGAAUCCAGGAGAGGUGAGUGGAAUUCCGAGUGUAGAGGUGAAAUUCGUAGAUAUUCGGAAGAACACCAGUGGCGAAGGCGGCUCACUGGACUGGUAUUGACGCUGAGGUGCGAAAGCGUGGGGAGCAAACAGGAUUAGAUACCCGUGUAGUCCCUGUCUCUUAUCC
rnacentral:rRNA from 1 species